rnacentral:rRNA from 1 species
AUUGAACGCUGGCGGAAUGCUUUACACAUGCAAGUCGAGCGGCAGCGCGGGGGCAACCCUGGCGGCGAGCGGCGGACGGGUGAGUAAUACAUCGGAACGUGUCCUGUCGUGGGGGAUAACCAGUCGAAAGACUGGCUAAUACCGCAUUAGAUCGAAAGAUGAAAGCGGGGGACCGCAAGGCCUCGCGCGAUUGGAGCGGCCGAUGUCGGAUUAGCUAGUUGGCGGGGAAAAGCCCACCAAGGCGACGAUCCGUAGCUGGUUUGAGAGAACGACCAGCCACACUGGGACUGAGACACGGCCCAGACUCCUACGGGAGGCAGCAGUGGGGAAUUUUGGACAAUGGGGCAACCCCUGAUCCAGCCAUGCCGCGUGUGUGAAGAAGGCCUCGGUUGU